rnacentral:rRNA from 1 species
GACGAACGCUGGCGGCGUGCUUAACACAUGCAAGUCGAACGGAAAGGCCCUGCUUUUGUGGGGUGCUCGAGUGGCGAACGGGUGAGUAACACGUGAGUAACCUGCCCUUGACUUUGGGAUAACUUCAGGAAACUGGGGCUAAUACCGGAUAGGAGCUCCUGCUGCAUGGUGGGGGUUGGAAAGUUUCGGCGGUUGGGGCUGGACUCGCGGCUUAUCAGCUUGUUGGUGGGGUAGUGGCUUACCAAGGCUUUGACGGGUAGCCGGCCUGAGAGGGUGACCGGCCACAUUGGGACUGAGAUACGGCCCAGACUGCUACGGGAGGCAGCAGUCGGGAAUAUUGCACAAUGGGCGGAAGCCUGAUGCAGCAACGCCGCGUGCGGGAUGACGGCCUUCGGGUUGUAAACCGCUUUCGCCUGUGACGAAGCGUGAGUGACGGUAAUGGGUAAAGAAGCACCGGCUAACUACGUG